rnacentral:rRNA from 1 species
GACGAACGCUGGCGGCGUGCCUAAUACAUGCAAGUUGAGCGCUGAAGGUUGGUACUUGUACCAACUGGAUGAGCAGCGAACGGGUGAGUAACGCGUGGGGAAUCUGCCUUUGAGCGGGGGACAACAUUUGGAAACGAAUGCUAAUACCGCAUAAAAACUUUAAACACAAGUUUUAAGUUUGAAAGAUGCAAUUGCAUCACUUAAAGAUGAUCCCGCGUUGUAUUAGCUAGUUGGUGAGGUAAAGGCUCACCAAGGCGAUGAUACAUAGCCGACCUGGGAGGGUGAUCGGCCACAUUGGGACUGAGACACGGCCCAAACUCCUACGGGAGGCAGCAGUAGGGAAUCUUCGGCAAUGGACGAAAGUCUGACCGAGCAACGCCGCGUGAGUGAAGAAGGUUUUCGGAUCGUAAAACUCUGUUGGUAGAGAAGAACGUUGGUGAGAGUGGAAAGCUCAUCAAGUGACGGUAACUACCCAGAAAGGGACGGCUAACUACGUG